GAUGAACGCUGGCGGCGUGCCUAAUACAUGCCAGUCGAGCGAACGGACGAGAAGCUUGCUUCUCUGAUGUUAGCGGCGGACGGGUGAGUAACACGUGGAUAACCUACCUAUAAGACUGGGAUAACUUCGGGAAACCGGAGCUAAUACCGGAUAAUAUUUUGAACCGCAUGGUUCAAAAGUGAAAGACGGUCUUGCUGUCACUUAUAGAUGGAUCCGCGCUGCAUUAGCUAGUUGGUAAGGUAACGGCUUACCAAGGCAACGAUGCAUAGCCGACCUGAGAGGGUGAUCGGCCACACUGGAACUGAGACACGGUCCAGACUCCUACGGGAGGCAGCAGUAGGGAAUCUUCCGCAAUGGGCGAAAGCCUGACGGAGCAACGCCGCGUGAGUGAUGAAGGUCUUCGGAUCGUAAAACUCUGUUAUUAGGGAAGAACAUAUGUGUAAGUAACUGUGCACAUCUUGACGGUACCUAACCAGAAAGCCACGGCUAACUACGUG
rnacentral:rRNA from 1 species